UCACUCUGUCUGAGUUCACUUCACAGAGAAAAACGAAAACGUAAGAAUUGUUUUUGAGGAUGAAGAGCAAGGAUGGAGAAGCCAUGGAUUGAAGUUAAACACUGAUCGAGACUCAACAACUCAUUCCCCAUUUCGACCCUCUCCCUGGCUCUCGAAAACUGCUACUCGACAUCAAUAUCCUUGGCGUCUUCCUCAGGUACUAAAAAGCAAAUAGGGGGCUUAGCAGUAGGAAUAGAUCUAGGGACAACAUAUUCAUGUGUUGGUGUAUGGAAAAAUAAUCGAGUUGAGAUCAUUGCUAAUGGUCAAGGAAAUAGAACUACUCCUUCUUAUGUUUCUUUUAAUGAUACUGAGCGUAUGGUUGGUGAGGCUGCUAAGGAUCAAGCUGCUGUCAAUCCUAGCAACACAGUCUUCGAUGCGAAACGUUUAAUUGGUAGGAAGAUGAGCGAUGGGUUUGUUCAGAGGGAUAUUAAACUAUGGCCCUUCAAAGUCAUUGCUGGAGUGGACGAGAGGCCCAUGAUACAACUCAAUUACAAGGGUAAGGAGAUGCAGUUUUCAGCUGAAGAAAUCUCAUCCAUGGUUCUCAUUAAGAUGCGAGAAAUUGCCGAAGCUUAUCUUGGUACUAGUGUUAUGCAUGCUGUUAUUACAGUCCCUGCUUACUUCAGUGAUUCUCAGCGUCAUGCGACUAGAGAUGCUGGCACCAUCGCUGGCCUUAAGGUAAUGCGAAUUAUCAGUGAACCAACAGCUGCUGCAAUUGCUUACGGUCUUGAUAAGAGAGCAACAACCGAUGUUGGUGCUGCUGAGAAUGUUCUUAUCUUUGAUCUUGGUGGUGGUACUUUUGAUGUGUCGAUACUCAUCAUUAAAGAGGGUAGCUUCGAAGUUAAGGCAACAGCUGGGGAUACUCAUCUUGGAGGAGAGGAUUUCGAUAAUAGGAUGGUAAAUCAUUUUGUUCAAGAGUUUAAGAGGAAGCUGAAGAAGGAUAUUAGUGGAAACCCAAGGGCUCUUAGGAGGUUGAGAACGCCAUGUGAGAGGGCAAAGAGGGGCCUAUCAUCUAAUUUCCAUGAAACCAUUGAAAUUGAUGCUUUGUAUGAUGGAGUCGAUUUUUGGGAGUCCAUCACUCGUGCUAAAUUUGAAGAUUUGAACAAGGAUUUGUUUAGGAGUUGUAUGGAACCUGUUGAGAAAGGUUUGGCGGAUGCUAAGAUGGACAAGAGCGACGUUCAUGAUGUUGUCCUCGUUGGUGGGUCCACUAGAAUUCCUAAGGUUCAGUCUCUACUGCAGGAUUUCUUUAAUGGCAAGGAACUCUGCAAAAGCAUCAACCCUGACGAGGCCGUGGCUUAUGGUGCCGCGGUUCAAGCUGCUAUUUUGAGUGGCGAAGCAAAUGAGAAGGUGCUGGAUUUAGUGGUGGUUGAUGUAACCCCUCUUUCUCUUGGUGUUGAGGUUGAUGAUUUUGCUAUGGAUAUUAUUAUCCCAAGGAAUACCCCCAUUCCCACCAAGAAGGAAAAAACGUACUCUACCUUACAUGACAACCAAACUAAAGUGAUUACUAAGGUGUACGAGGGUGAGAGAGCUAGAACCAGCGACAAUAACUUUUUGGGUCAGUUCGUGUUGAGUGGAAUUCCUGCAGCACCUCGUGGUGUUUCUAGGUUCACUGAAUGCUUUAAUAUUGAUGCAGACGGUAUAUUGACUGUGUCGGCUGAAGAAAAGACAUCAGGGAGCAAAGCUAUGGUUAGAAUUGAGAACAACAAAGGGAGGUUGUCGAAGACUGAGAUUGAAAGGCUGGUCGGAGAGGCAGAAAAAUACAAGGCAGAAGAUUUAGAAUACAGGAUGAAGAGGGAUUCAAGGAACGCCUUCUUGAAUUACACAUCUGACAUGAAGGGCAUGAUAAAUGAUAUAGGGGAGGAGCUAACAUCAGACAAAAAGAAGAAGGUUGAGGAUGCAAUCAACAAUGCCAUUGAAUGGCUGGAUAGCAAUGAACCCUGUGACAUAGAUGCUAUCAACCAAAAGAUGAAGCAGUUCGAGAACGUCUGCAGCAUUAUCCGACAUAAGAGGCAUAAGAGGUACAAGUAGGUUGGAGCUGUUGUUGAACUGGAAGUCAUGGAAAUUGACUAAUGUGGAGUCUCUUUUAUGCUGUAGGCAGGUGCUAAUCCAAACGGUGGACCAGAUGGAUUGACAGCUCUGAUAGUUGCAACUGAAGUGGGGGCAAAAGUCAUCAAGGAUGAAGCUGGUGCAGCUCCAGAGGAACGAUUAUGGUCUGGCAUUACAUUUUGUACACAGAGGUAACUUUUUUUAGUCAGAAACACUACAAAGUUAAGCGGUUAAAUAAAUUGAUAGCUUUUAAAUGGAAGGUGAAAUAAGAACACACCCUCAUAUAUGGGAUACAAGUUGGAUCAUUUGGGAAUUGUAAGGGAAAUAUCAACAUUUUUAGUACAAAUGUGCAUUUGUCAAAUCAUUGAUCUAGAAUGAAAUAGGAUUCAAGCCUCCAUUUCUCUUUUUUUUUUUGUCAGUUAAGUUCCUUUGUAUGCUUAUUUUUAAAAUCUACUAUCAAGUUUCAGAACAGUGGAUUUUCAAAUCUCAAUGACAGUAUUUCGUAAGAAAGAGAGCUUAAUCUAUAUUAUAAGCAAGUUGAAUGGACAUCUCAGUUGAUGUUUUGAAGGUGUUAGUGUUACAUAGCAGAGGCACAUGCUUCUCCCUUAGUGGAGUUAUAAUGGGAACCACCCAUUACCACAAGUUCCACGUUACCGUUGCAUAUUCUCAGUUGUGGAUUUUUUGGUUGAUACACUAUUUCUUUCAAUCUGUCUUGUGUUUCGUUUCUCCCAUAGAUGGGUUUGUUCGUUCCAGUGAUCUGCUUUUCACUAUGUCUAAUGCUUCUCCCAUUCUCAAUGAAUUCUCUUUGGUCCUUGCUUACACUGCCGGCUGGUCUUUGUAUAUGGUGUUUCUGGUUUCUCUCUUCUGUGAGCUGUGUGAGUGGGUUCUAUACAUAGUGUUCUGUUAUCUGCUGCAUCUCAAACCAUUCAACUGUUGGUGCAAACGAACUACAAUCCUGGUGUAUGUUGAUGGAGUUUUUGUCCUUGAGAGUUUUAUUCUCAUAAUGUUGUUACUUGUGCAAAACUUGUAUGUUUGAAGUCGAGAUCCUUGGGUCCUCUUCUUCUUCUCUUGGCUCUAGGACAUUUGGAAGUAGUAUUGUUUGUUUUGGCUAGUAAGCUGCAAGCUAAUGGGGUUGUCCAAUAGCAGGUUGUAACCAGUGA